GACGAACGCUGGCGGCGUGCUUAACACAUGCAAGUCGAACGGAAAGGCCCUGCUUGCAGGGUACUCGAGUGUCGAACGGGUGAGUAACACGUGGGUGAUCUGCCCUGCACUUCGGGAUAAGCCUGGGAAACUCGGUCUAAUACCGGAUAGGAGCCAUUUUUAUUGUUGUGGUUGGAAAGUUUUUUCGGUGUAGGAUGAGCUCGCGGCCUAUCAGCUUGUUGGUGGGGUAAUGGCCUACCAAGGCGGCGACGGGUAGCCGGCCUGAGAGGGUGGACGGCCACAAUGGGACUGAGAUACGGCCCAGACUCCUAAGGGAGGCAGCAGUGGGGAAUAAUGCACAAUGGGCGCAAGCCUGAUGCAGCGACGCCGCGUGGGGGAUGACGGCCUUCGGGUUGUAAACUCCUUUCGCUAGGGACGAAGCUGUUUGUGACGGUACCUAGAUAAGAAGCACCGGCUAACUACGUG
rnacentral:rRNA from 1 species